UACGUAGGGUGCGAGCGUUGUCCGGAAUUAUUGGGCGUAAAGAGCUUGUAGGCGGUUUGUCGCGUCUGCUGUGAAAAUCCGGGGCUCAACCCCGAGCCUGCAGUGGAUACGGGCUAGCUAGAGUGCGGUAGGGGAGACUGGAAUUCCUGGUGUAGCGGUGAAAUGCGCAGAUAUCAGGAGGAACACCGGUGGCGAAAGCGGCUCUCUGGACCACAACUGACGCUGAGGCGCGAAAGCUAGGGGAGCAAACAGG
rnacentral:rRNA from 1 species